CCUACGGGGGGCAGCAGUGAGGAAUAUUGGUCAAUGGGCGCGAGCCUGAACCAGCCAAGUCGCGUGAGGGAGGACGGCCCUACGGGUUGUAAACCUCUUUUGCCGGGGAGCAACGGGCGUCACGUGUGGCGCCACUGAGAGUACCCGGAGAAAAAGCAUCGGCAAACUCCGUGCCAGCGGCCGCGGUAAUACGGAGGAUGCGAGCGUUAUCCGGAUUGAUUGGGUUAAAAGGGUGCGUAGGCGGAUCGUUAAGUCAGGGGGCAAAGUGAGGGGCUCAACCCCUUCCCGCCAUUGAAACUGGCGCUCUUGAGUGGAAGAGAAGGAUGCGGAAUGCGUGGUGUAGCGGUGAAAUGCAUAGAUAUCACGCAGAACCCCGAUUGCGAAGGCAGCAUGCCGGCUUCCGACUGACGCUGAAGCACGAAAGCGUGGGGAUCGAACAGGAUUAGAUACCCGAGUAGUC
rnacentral:rRNA from 1 species